rnacentral:rRNA from 1 species
GUCUGUGUGGGUUAAGUAGGUACACAGUCUAGCCUGCCCCCUGAGUUCGACUUAAAGGGCCGCGGUAAUUUGACCGUGCAAAGGUAGCAUAAUCAUUAGUUCUUUAAUUGAGGGCUUGUAUGAAUGGCUGCAUGGAAAGAAGUUUGUCUCUUUAAGUAGUAUUUUGAAUUUAACAUUUGUGUGAAAAGGCAUUAAUGAUUUAGGGGGACGAUAAGACCCUAUGAAGUUUGGAUAUAGAUUAGGAUUUUAUAAUUGAGUUGUUGAUUAAUAAUGUGGGGGCCUGAUUAGUAUUAGGUUGGGGCGACUGAAAUAUAAUGUGGUGUAUAACUAUUCUAGUGUUUAUAAUAUAAAUAUAUAGAUAUUGAUCCUUUAAUUAAGAUUAUUAAAUUAAGUUACUCUAGGGAUAACAGCGUAAUUUUACUUGAGAGUUCAUAUCGAUAGUAUAAGUUGCGACCUCGAUGUUGAAUUAAAAUUUCUUUUAGGUGCAGCAGUUUAAAGAGUGGGUCUGUUCGACCCUUAAAAUUUUACAUGAUUUGAGUUCAGACCGGUGUGAG